AUGAGCAAGAGCUUAAGCCCCCGCUAUCAAGGGCUCUCCACCUAUGGGAAAGAGUAUCUGGCCAUUGUGGUCGCGGUCGAUCAAUGGUGGCCGUACUUGCAGCACAACGAAUUCAUCAGCCACACAGACCAGAAGAGUUUGAUCCACCUUGAAGAGCAGCAUCUCACGACACCUUGGUAGCAACGGGCAUUUCCCAAAUUGCUCGGCCUUCGUUACAUCAUCAGAUACAAGAAGGGUACCGAGAACACAGUUGCGGACGCCCUGUCGCGCGCCAACUCACCAACAACCCUGUUCACCGUCACUACGUGCCGCCCGAGUUGGCUCCAAGACGUCGUCAGCAGCUACAAUUGUAAUCCUCAAGCCUAG
rnacentral:rRNA from 1 species